rnacentral:tRNA from 1 species
UCCCUGGUGGCUCAGAUGGUAAAGCAUCUGCCUACAAUGCAGGAGACCCGGGUUCGAUCCCUGGGUUGGGAA